rnacentral:rRNA from 1 species
AUACGUAGGUGGCAAGCGUUAUCCGGAAUUAUUGGGCGUAAAGCGCGCGCAGGCGGUUUCUUAAGUCUGAUGUGAAAGCCCACGGCUCAACCGUGGAGGGUCAUUGGAAACUGGGGAACUUGAGUGCAGAAGAGAAAAGCGGAAUUCCACGUGUAGCGGUGAAAUGCGUAGAGAUGUGGAGGAACACCAGUGGCGAAGGCGGCUUUUUGGUCUGUAACUGACGCUGAGGCGCGAAAGCGUGGGGAGCAAACAGGAUUAGAUACCCUGGUAGCCCACGCCGUAAACGAUGAGUGCUAAGUGUUAGAGGGUUUCCGCCCUUUAGUGCUGCAGCUAACGCAUUAAGCACUCCGCCUGGGGAGUACGGUCGCAAGACUGAA